GACAGAGGAUGCAAGCGUUAUCCGGAAUGAUUGGGCGUAAAGCGUCUGUAGGUGGCUUUUUAAGUCUGCCGUCAAAUCCCGGGGCUUAACCCUGGACAGGCGGUGGAAACUACCAAGCUGGAGUACGGUAGGGGCAGAGGGAAUUUCCGGUGGAGCGGUGAAAUGCGUAGAGAUCGGAAGGAACACCAACGGCGAAAGCGCUCUGCUGGGCCGACACUGACACUGAGAGACGAAAGCUAGGGGAGCGAAUGGG
rnacentral:rRNA from 1 species